rnacentral:sRNA from 1 species
CGGCCGAGCUGCUUGCGCCCUAUACCGGCGAUAUCGCCGCCGAGGGCGUCAGCAAACUGCUGCGCGGCGGGGCGAAGUGCUUACAGCACGGUCUGGCGCGUCAGCAGCGCUAUGUGGCUGAAACGCUGACCGAAGAGUGGCGUCUGGCGCCGGGUGCCCUGGAAGUUGCCUGGUUUGCGGAAGAGACGGCGGCGGUCGAGCGUGAGCUUGCGGCGCUGACCAAACGGUUGGAAAAACUGGAGGGGAAAUGA